rnacentral:rRNA from 1 species
UACGUAGGGUCCGAGCGUUGUCCGGAAUUACUGGGCGUAAAGAGCUCGUAGGUGGUUUGUCGCGUUGUUCGUGAAAACUCACAGCUCAACUGUGGGCGUGCGGGCGAUACGGGCAGACUGGAGGUAUGCAGGGGAGAACGGAAUUCCUGGUGUAGCGGUGAAAUGCGCAGAUAUCAGGAGGAACACCGGUGGCGAAGGCGGCUCUCUGGGACAGUACUGACGCUGAGACGCGAAAGCGUGGGGAGCGAACAGG